rnacentral:lncRNA from 1 species
CCUUUGCAUGGCCUCCAUAUAGGUGAUCGGAUCCUCAUCAUUCUCAUCAAGUUCAAUAAGAUCACCGUCCCGGAUCAAAAAAUUAUAAUAUUUGUCCGACUAAUGCAGUACUCUACCGGAUCUCCUUAAUGGUGCCUCUACUGGCUCCAAAUUUGAUUCACCAAUCGAACCCAAUUCUGUAUGUAUCAGUCCUUCCACCUCAUGAACUUCAUCAAGUUCAAUUUUAUAGGCAUUAGCUCCUUCACCAAGAAAUUUUUUUUCCAAAAAGACUGUCCGACUGCUGAUAAACACCUUUUGUUCUGCAGCGAGGUUGAAGUAGUACUCUUUAGUUUUCUUUGGAUACCCUA